GUGUUUUAACCAGAGUGAUAUAAAAAGUUCAACUCAUGGUGAAAACCCUAACCGCACCUGCGCCUGCCCCUCUGUUCCUCAUCCUCGCGGGAGGCGGCGGCUGCACCUCCACGUCGUUCCUCCUCCUCCUCUUCGCUGCACCUCCGCCUCCCACCUCUCCCCUCUCGUUCCUCCCCCUCCUUCGUCUCUCUCUGAUGGCCCCUUGUCGACCUGCGCGCGAGCGUCGUGUCAGCACGAGCAGGGCGCCGUUCUUGGGCGCGGGAACCGCGUAAGGCGCGAGCUGGGCGUCGUGCUUGGACGCACGACCCCUCUGCCCCGCCCACCGCCGCCACAAGUUGCCGGGAGGAGCCCUCCAGCGACCCGUUGCCACGCCGACCUUCAGGCUGCGUCGGGUGACGAGUCCCCACGUCGAGCACUGCUCCUCCUCGACGCUCUCGACCUCUACGUCGACCUCCAGACCUCCAACCUCUUUGGAUUUGAUGGUAUGUUCUGGGCUAGGUCGGUGGUGUUCCUCCUCUCUCUGUCUAUUUAAUCCCCCAAAUCUUAUAUGUUUAUGCAAAUUCUAUGUAUUGUGCCUACAAGUUGUUUGGCAAAAUUCCAAGCAGGCCGUUCUCCAAAUUCCAAGUAGUAAGGAGAUGGAGAAGCAGCACUACAAAGAUCCCAGGUUGUAGCCCUCCUCUGUGCAAUAAUUCCCUGGAGGCAAGGGUUGAAUUUCCUCUGCCAUUUCAUGGUCUAACCAAGAUUUUGAUGUAGCUCAUUAUUUUGUGCUUGAGACAAUUUUAUUAUCAAACCAAACUGCUGAAUGCAUGCUUGUCUGAAAUGUCGCAUACCCAACUAACUCCGUAUGAAAAUAAGAAAAGUCAAUAUCAAGUGGCAUGUCCAUAGUUCUGCAUUUUUUAAACUUCAAACUUGGAUGCUCCUCUAUUCUGUUUCAGGAUGUGUAAACUUAUCCAGAGUUAUGAUCACCGAUCUUUAUUGUACUGAGUAAAGGGGAGAUAAUGUAGUUGAUUAUGUUCCUAAUUAUAUAAAAGUAAUUUUGGUUACUUACCUACUACUAUCUAUUUUCAUCUGCCUUUUCUUAUCCUGGACUGGGCUUCAUUUCACAGUGGGUUGAUAUGAAAAUCCAUAACUGCAUAUUGGAUAAUUCAUUUCUGUUUCCGUAUUCUUUAAAUAGGUAAACACACCAAGGAUAUUGACAUAUUGUAGUGCUGCUUACUUGUGGCAUAGCAGCAGCGGUGGGACGAGUUUACUUGUGCUAGGACUGAACGAUGAAGAGGUUGCUGGAUUCAACCUUUGCAACUACGGCUUGAGCGCAGCCAAAUACAUUCUAUUUUCUGGACCUUUCCUUCAUAAAUUGAGCAUUAUGAUCAAUUCAUUCACAAGGUAAUUGGUAAAUUCUGCCAUCCUAGAGGUCCAUCAAAAAGUUUGGUAUGGUUGUCACUUCGAAUUUAUCUUUAAUGUAUUAUCUUAAUCAAAUAAUCAUAAACAGAAUAAUUUACAAAACUAUCCUGUGCUUGUGUCUCUGUUCUCUUAUGCACAUCCAAGAGUAUUUGGUAACCUCAUCGAUUGUUAUCACCCCUAUAAAAAACUGUACCAAUAUGAAGAUAUACAUGUACAGAAUAAAAUAAGAAAAGAGGGACACUUACAUCCGUAGUAAGUAGAUGAGAUCAUGAGAGAGGUAGGCCUAGCUUCAGGACGAUGCUUCUGCGGUAAAAAUGAAAAGGCCAGUAGCAAUGUUAUUAGCUUCGGGACGAUGCUUAUGCGGUAAAAAUGAAAAGGCCAGUAGUCAAUCUUGUCCAGAAGUAGCAUUCAUUGCUGACAAAUCUGAACCAAGUUUGAAUUAUAUAUAUUCACAAAUAUGAGUUUUCAAACUUUGUCGGCACAUUAGGAAACAUAACUUCAGUUGGAAUAAUCCCUGAAGGAUAACAGUGAAGUAGAGAAUAAAUACAUAUGCCCACCUCAAUGCCCCUGCCAAUUUCAGGUACCGCGUACCACCCCCUCUCUUCCUCAUCUAGACAUGUCGUAGUGCUGGACCUAUUAACUCUGAAACACCUCGUGUAUGAAAACCAUGUGUAUGUAGGAGCUAUGUGCUUUUGAUCUAGAUCUGAGCAAUCGUUGGUAUGUGUAAUAUAUUUCCCUAUGUUAUCAAUGUUUGCUUGUCAAAUGUGUAAUCUAUUUUAUCCAUUGUGUGCUUCUGGUAAAAAUACAGAUACUCAAUUAUUCCAAUAAAAAAUUGCUAGUGCGUGAAAUGAUCUGAUGCCUGGAUUAUAGAAUUUUACCUGCUGCUCCAUAUAUACUCUGUAAUUUCAUAGUAGGAGAAUCUCUCUGCUUUUGAGAUGUUGUAGACUGUUCUUUCAACAUUGAAUUUCCAUUCUGAUAUAUGUGAUUGCCUUCUCAUAUGAUUCACAGUCGUAUCAUGCAGUUUCUUUCAUUUUUCACAACUUCCUUUGCAUCUUGAGCAUAUAGUUGAAUAGGGAGUAUUUAUUUUUUCAACGUGCCUCCAAUGGUGUACUAAACCAUCUGUUGUAUGGUUGAUAAUCUGUAUUCGAUACUCUAUUUGGGUCUUUUACUGGUUAUUAGCUGUUGCAUGGUCGAGUUUACCACUAGAUUGUUUUUUUUUCACCUUGAUGCUCUUCUAUUGUCAUCAUAUGUUUGAGCAUUUUUACUCCUCAAACACCUCUCCCACAUACGCCACCAUCGGUUGGAAACCUCCUGGACCUCGGUAUGUCUGCACAGAUCAUAUGCUCACGUGCUAACUGAAGAUUAGCUGAUGAGGAGGUUCUCUAUUUCUCUUUGCAGGGUAGGUUGGUGGCAAGAGGAUGUGCCUGAAAUUCGAGCGGGUUAAGUAAUGGCUGUAUGUUGGGUGGACAACCAUCAGAUCCUUGGUCUACUAGGUUAUCUUUGGCGCUGUCUGUUGGGGACAACUGCAUUAACGUCAUGCAAGUAUACUUCUGUUUUGUAAAUAUACUUCAUAAAGGUUGUCUUUGGUCUACUCGGAUGAUUUUUAUCAGUCCCUUUCUUUUCCUUUUCUCAUUGCAUUUCUUUGUCUACGCCUUUCUUUUUAUGCCCCCCUUUUGGUUGUUAGUUUUAUCUCUAUCGCAUUUUUUUGUUGCCACAUUUCUUCUUGAAGUUUCUAUUUAUCCCUGCUUUCUUUUAUCUUUUUUGCUUCGACUUCAUUUUCGGUGUAGUUCUCUUUUCUCCAUUAUCGUCCUAGGUUCCAUAUCAGUCCUCACUUUUUAUCAGUUUGUUCCUAUUUUUUUCUUUUUCUUUUUAAUUUUGAUUUCUUUGCUUUCUUUACUUUUUACUAUGAUUAUGUCCACUCAUUUGUUUCCCCUCUUCUUUCUGGUGGGACUUUGUACAAUCUAUAGAUAUCACUUCACAAACUAGAUACAUAUCACUUCGGAAUUUGGUUUCCAAUGGAGCAACCAAAUAUGGAGCAAAGAUUAAGGAGAAAGCGUGGGCAACAGAAGCCACUUUUGUGUAACAAAAGCCACUUCUGUAUAACCAAAAGUAAUAGCUGGUUAUAUAUAAGUUUUGCUACUCAAAUAAUGAUUGCUUGAUUCUCUCUUCUUUCUGGUGGGAGUUUGUAUAAUUACGGAUAUCACUUCACUAGCCAGAUCAAUAUCACUUCGGAAUUUGGUUUCCAGUGGAGGAACCAAAUAUGAAGCAAAGAUUGAGAAAGCGAUGGCAACAGAAGCCACUUUUGUGUAACAAAAGCCACUUCUCUAUAACCAAAAUGAAUAGCUGGUUGUAUAUAAGUUCUCCUACUUAAAUAAUGUUUUUGUAUACUCUGUAAGCUUGAUAGAACUUGUUUUGACAUAAUGUUUGUUAGUAUGAAAGAUGGGGUGUGUGCCAAGGUGCGCCCA